UACGAAGGGGGCUAGCGUUGCUCGGAAUCACUGGGCGUAAAGCGCACGUAGGCGGAUUGUUAAGUCAGGGGUGAAAUCCUGGAGCUCAACUCCAGAACUGCCUUUGAUACUGGCGAUCUUCGAGUCCGGGAGAGGUGAGUGGAACUGCGAGUGUAGAGGUGAAAUUCGUAGAUAUUCGCAAGAACACCAGUGGCGAAGGCGGCUCACUGGCCCGGUACUGACGCUGAGGUGCGAAAGCGUGGGGAGCAA
rnacentral:rRNA from 1 species